GGGCUGCGGAGUACACUCCCAACCCCUGUGACAUACCUAUACGUUGCCUCGGCGGAUCAGCCCGCGCCCCGUAAAACGGGACGGCCCGCCCGAGGACCCCUAAACUCUGUUUUUAGUGGAACUUCUGAGUAAAACAAACAAAUAAAUCAAAACUUUCAACAACGGAUCUCUUGGUUCUGGCAUCGAUGAAGAACGCAGCAAAAUGCGAUAAGUAAUGUGAAUUGCAGAAUUCAGUGAAUCAUCGAAUCUUUGAACGCACAUUGCGCCCGCCAGUAUUCUGGCGGGCAUGCCUGUUCGAGCGUCAUUUCAACCCUCAAGCUCAGCUUGGUGUUGGGACUCGCGGUAACCCGCGUUCCCCAAAUCGAUUGGCGGUCACGUCGAGCUUCCAUAGCGUAGUAAUCAUACACCUCGUUACUGGUAAUCGUCGCGGCCACGCCGUAAAACCCCAACUUCUGAAUGUUGACCUCGGAUCAGGUAGGAAUACCCGCUGAACUUAAGCAUAUCAAUAAGCGGAGGGAA
rnacentral:rRNA from 1 species